AUGAAAAUCCUAGGCUGGAACUGCCGUGGUAUGCUCUCCAACACGGCAGUUCGUGAGCUUCUGGAGCUACAGAAGCGUACAAGGGCAGAUUUAAUUUUCCUCUCUGAAUCCCAUUUGAAUAAUUGUAAAGCCGAUGAGCUUCGUCGCGUAUUAGGUUUUGAUUCUAUGUUUGUAGUGGAAAGUGAUGGUAAGGCCGGAGGCCUCGCUUUGUUUUAUCAUGAGUCCAAUAAAAUUGAGUUGAACUAUGUCUCGCCCCAUUUUAUUGAUAUUGUUUUUAUGUAUGAGAAUGUGGUUCAGUGGCGGUUCACAGGCUUCUAUGGUCAUCCGAAAUGGAAUGAACGUCAUCUAUCUUGGGAUGACAUUCGCAAUUUACAUAGUAAGAGCAACCAUCCUUGGGUGGUUUUGGGGGAUUUUAAUGAAAUUUUAUACCCUUCAGAAAAAGAGGGUGGUGUAGCUAGACCACUUGGUAUGAUGAGAGAGUUCCGUGAAUGCCUAAUGGAUUGUGGUCUCGACGAUUUAGGCUAUACAGGCGACCUUUUCACUUGGAGUAGAGGCGAAAUUCGUGAGCGUCUUGAUCGUGCGGUCUGUAAUUUAGCGUGGGCAAAUAAAUUCCCACGUGCGGGAGUGACCAACGAAGAACAUGUUCAUUCUGACCAUCGUCCAAUCGUACUAGAUAUUGAUUUUUUGGAUGAAAAAAAUCUUCAAACGACCAGAGGGACGUGUUAA
rnacentral:rRNA from 1 species